GGAACAUGUUGGCACCCAUCUUUGGGGCUACCAGAACUUUGAGGGCCGUUUCUCUGUGGCUCCUGGCCUCGUCUCGGCUGCGUUGGGCUGCGCGAUGGAUGAUGUGUUCGAGGCUUCCUGUGUCUGGGGGCAAAUCGGGGCGAGAUGGCUCCGGGGAACCUGCGUGGUGGAGCUUGGUGCUGGGACAGCGAGCGAGGAGAGGUUUGUGGGGUGGCUGGGGGGUGGGCUCUGACCCUGGACCCCUUUUCUCCCACACCUUGCUCCCGUGUCCCGUUCAGGCUCUCAUCCUGCAACUAUCUGAGUCUGACCACUUCUCUUCUUUUACCUUUCUCUGA
rnacentral:lncRNA from 1 species